GUAUUCAUUUGUCGCAUCAGUUUUUUGGCCAUUGAUUGCUUUUGUUGGUCGCCUUUUUUUUGUGUGGCGUUGGCGUUAUAUAAAACCAUAAUCCAAAUGAAUCACUUAAACGGACGGAAGAAAGCUUUGUUCGGGAUGCAAAUGUUGGAGGAGAGAGAGAGAGUGAGAGAUACAGCGCAAAAGGUAGAUGGAGAGGCAUUGCCAUUCCAUUGUCUGCCGCUGGAAAUGGUUCAUCAAAAGAAAUCAUCAGUAGAAAAAAGUAAAAAGAAAAAAAAACACGACUGCGGGUGCCUGGGUGCAGCCAGUGGCUUGGCUAGUGUGUAGGGGCAGGGGGUAUUCAAUCAGCCUCCAUUAUCAGCUGGUUGCAUCCACAAAGGCAACGCACAACACAAAGCCCGAGAUGAACUAUCUUGGGGCCUUAUUCUCUCCACAAAGAAGCCAUAACAAGUGCUCCAACUGCUAUCCGAUGGGAGGAUUAUCUUUGCGGCUCAUUGCACAGUAGCUGUGGGGGUCAGAAAAAGGUCUGAUUGGGAGGAAGCUU